rnacentral:rRNA from 1 species
UACGGGGGAGCAAGCGUUGUUCGGAUUUACUGGGCGUAAAGGGCGCGUAGGCGGUCAGCACAAGUCAGUUGUGAAAUCUCCGGGCUUAACUCGGAAAGGUCAACUGAUACUGUGCGACUAGAGUGCAGAAGGGGCAACUGGAAUUCUCGGUGUAGCGGUGAAAUGCGUAGAUAUCGAGAGGAACACCUGCGGCGAAGGCGGGUUGCUGGGCUGACACUGACGCUGAUGCGCGAAAGCCAGGGAGCAAACGGG